UGCACUGAUUAUGUAAAAUAUUGGAGAAAUAAUAUAUGCAAUUCCAUCCACAGAGAGCAGCAUGUGAUGACAGAAAUGUCAAAAUGUCAACCAGUCCAAAGAGUUCAAUCAGCAAGAUAUUGGAGACUACCCGUUCACCUGUGAUUCGCUUGUGCGACUCAUUGCAAAAUCCCUCCCAAGAUCCCCUAACCUCAUUAAAUAAUAUGCGAAAGCAUAUCAAAACUUUACUGUUCCGACUAGAGUGCCUGACAAACUACGGAAUAUUGAUGAGAAACCCCCUAGACCCCCUCUCCUGCCCUGAUGACCCCCGUUGGUGAAGCCAGAAAAAAUGACAGAGGAGAUGUAGUUUUAAAUACCGAACAAUGGGAGUAAAUAAUGACUAGCUUAUAUCAAAAUAAAGAUAAUUAUUAAGAUUCUUCAAUCACCCAAGGGUAGAGUGGGGGGAUGAGGGUGGGGAUUGGCAGGAGGGCACAAAAAGCAAAUGAUGCCACACCCCCUCCCCUUUGCAUUGAUCUGUCAUUUCUCCUUUUUGAGUCCAUUGAGGAAACAAUCUGCUCACCUAACUCAAUUAACUCCAAAGCACUCCCAUUAUCAUACAAGGACUUGAAACAAUCCUCUUUGUCAUGUUAUUUAGAUCCAAAUAACUGUUGAGAUAAUCAAAACUGCAAAGUAAAUAGAAGUGAUACUGAAAUAU